GGGUACAGUUCAUUUGGUAGAACUUUUGGCUAUUAUGCAAGAAGUCCUGGGUUCAGUUCCCAGUAUAUCCA
rnacentral:tRNA from 1 species